rnacentral:rRNA from 1 species
GACGAACGCUGGCGGCGUGCCUAAUACAUGCAAGUAGAACGCACAGUUUAUACCGUAGCUUGCUACACCAUAGACUGUGAGUUGCGAACGGGUGAGUAACGCGUAGGUAACCUGCCUGGUAGCGGGGGAUAACUAUUGGAAACGAUAGCUAAUACCGCAUAAUAUUGAUUAUUGCAUGAUAAUUGAUUGAAAGAUGCUAUUGCAUCACUACCAGAUGGACCUGCGUUGUAUUAGCUAGUAGGUGAGGUAACGGCUCACCUAGGCGACGAUACAUAGCCGACCUGAGAAGGUGAUCGGCCACACUGGGACUGAGACACGGCCCAGACUCCUGCGGGAGGCAGCAGUAGGGAAUCUUCGGCAAUGGACGAAAGUCUGACCGAGCAACGCCGCGUGAGUGAAGAAGGGUUUCGGAUCGUAAAGCUCUGUUGUAAGAGAAGAACGGGUGUGAGAGUGGAAAGUUCACACUGUGACGGUAUCUUACCAGAAAGGGACGGCUAACUACGUG